rfam:Zea mays cultivar B73 chromosome 1, whole genome shotgun sequence.
GGCAGAUUGAUGAUGAAACGAUUACCCCAAGCGCUUAAAUCCACUUAUGCCAGUGAUGGAAAGCUAUGUUCUCAUAGUUUUCGUGGUUUUCAAUCUGAAACU